GCAGAUCUGCCCUGCCCACUUUCGCGCUCUUUCCAACACCUUUCUCAGUUAUUUUCGCCAUUGUGGGUUUACUUGUCCUCAGCACACUGAUUUGGCACUGCUGCAAUCGUCACACUUUUUCUGUUACAAACUGACCCGGCCCCUCAUCAGAGAAGGGAAAAGUCAUGUGGCCUUCACAGGAAAAGGUUUGGGGACCCCUGCUUUAGAGUGUUUGUCAUCUGCCCUUCCAUUUGCUUUUCUUCAUGUGCAGUGCUCCCCCUCCAUGUUUGAUCAAACUGCACUGAUAAUUUGAAAUUGUUUUAAAAUGCAUUAAUCGCAAAAAUCAGAGGACUAGAUCACAUUUCCCCCUGUUAUUUCACCACUUUAACUUUGGUCUAACCUAAUAUAGGAAUACAGAUAGAAAGAGUGCAGAGAUCACACUCGACGCCAUAACAACCUGGUGUGUUUAAGGUUGGUCAUUUAUGUGCCUAUAUUUUGAAAUUGUUGCCUUAAUUUUGUGUUCUUUUUCACCAUCCCCCAAUCAGGCUGAAGCAAAUGGUCAAAAGUCCACACAUACCUCAGUCUCAGCAAUUACAGGUCAACCAAAGCAGUAUUCUCUAAUGCAGUGGACUUGCAAGUACUGCACAUUUUCUGCUGAAAAGAGCCUACUUGCUUAAGCAUUACCGCUUAAAACAUGGAUACCACACUCGGACAUCCCUACUCCCAUGUCUUCAUAAGGACUGCCUCUGCACAUUUAAAUCUUUUAAUGCACUCAAAGUACACCUAUCGACAUGGCACUCUCAAAAAGAUGCAGGCAAAAGUGGAGAAACUGCAUUUGACCGUCAGUUGUGCAACUUUGUGGAGCCCUGCUCAGAAGCAGACUUCUUUACCCAUUUGCGAGGACAUCUUAAGCUGAGGCAAAUGGUUACUUGCCCAUAUCAAGACUAACUUUCAGAGCAGUAUUUAUUCGACCUUCACUGCACACAAAAGCAAAGAAAUGUGAAAUGUGUUUGAGCCAUAGUGUGGGUAGGACAUUUGUGUCUAAAUCAUUCAAUCCCAAUAAAAGUUGCUUUAAUAAAAAAAAAAAACUUAUUUUUAAUCAAAGAAAAAGAACCUUUUGCAAAAAUAUAUUUUUUUGAAAAUAUAUAUAUUUUUAAAUAUAUAUUUUUUUUAUUGACGUGUCACUUUUUUUUUAAAGGAAAAAGUUUAAAACUUUUUUUUUAAAGUGGAAAAAGUUUUGAACGCAUUUCUUUUUUUCUUUUUGA